GACGAACGCUGGCGGCGUGCCUAAUACAUGCAAGUCGAACGCAGUGGGGACGGGUGAGUAACACGUGGGUAACCUCCCAUCAGAGGGGAUAACACUUGGAAACAGGUGCUAAACCGAUACUGAUGGAUGGACCCGCGGUGCAUUAGCUAGUUGGUGAGGUAACGGCUCACCAAGGCCACGAUGCAUAGCCGACCGGGGAGGGGUAUCUGCCACACUGGGGGUUAGGCACGGCCAAGACUCCUACGGGAGGCAGCAUGAGGGAAUCUUCGGCAAUGGACGAAAGUCUGACCGAGCAACUCCGCGUUAGUGAAGAAGGUUGUCGGAUCGUAAAACUCUGUUGUUAGAGAAGCGGUAUCUAACCAGAAAGCCACGGCUAACUACGUGCCAGCAGCCGCGGUAAUUC
rnacentral:rRNA from 1 species